CUCAGGAUGAACGCUGGCGGUCUGCUUAACACAUGCAAGUCGAACGGGCUCUUCGGAGCUAGUGGCGGACGGGUGAGUAACGCGUGAGAAUCUGCCUUCAGGAGGGGGAUAACGACUGGAAACGGUCGCUAAUACCCCAUAUGCCUCCGGGUGAAAAGUAAUUCGCCUGAAGAUGAGCUCGCGUCAGAUUAGCUAGUUGGUGGGGUAAGAGCCUACCAAGGCGACGAUCUGUAGCUGGUCUGAGAGGAUGAUCAGCCACACUGGGACUGAGACACGGCCCAGACUCCUACGGGAGGCAGCAGUGGGGAAUUUUCCGCAAUGGGCGCAAGCCUGACGGAGCAAGACCGCGUGGGGGAUGACGGCCUAAUGGUUGUAAACCCCUUUUCUCUGGGAAGAAGACUGACGGUACCAGAGGAAUCAGCCUCGGCUAACUCCGUGCCAGCAGCCGCGGUAAUACGGAGGAGGCAAGCGUUAUCCGGAAUUAUUGGGCGUAAAGCGUCCGUAGGUGGUUAUUCAAGUCUGCUGUCAAAGCGUGGGGCUUAACUCCAUAGAGGCAGUGGAAACUGAGUGACUAGAGUGCGGUAGGGGUCGAGGGAAUUCCCAGUGUAGCGGUGAAAUGCGUAGAUAUUGGGAAGAACACCAGUGGCGAAAGCGCUCGACUGGGCCUGCACUGACACUGAGGGACGAAAGCUAGGGGAGCGAAAGGGAUUAGAUACCCCUGUAGUCCUAGCCGUAAACGAUGGAUACUAGGUGUUGCUCGUCAUCGAGCCGAGCAGUGCCGUAGCCAACGCGUUAAGUAUCCCGACUGGGGAGUA
rnacentral:rRNA from 1 species